UUAAAGAAAGCGUAAUAGCUCACUGGUCGAGUCGGCCUGCGCGGAAGAUGUAACGGGGCUAAACCAUGCACCGAAGCUGCGGCAGCGAACGUAUCACUUAAAGCGAUUCAGCGGGUUACGAUUGACGGAGCGAAGCGACGUCAAAGCGUAUACAAAGUCGAGUCGGUUUAAGGAUACGUUCGUUGGGUAGGGGAGCGUUCUGUAAGCCUGCGAAGGUGGCCUGUGAGGGUUGCUGGAGGUAUCAGAAGUGCGAAUGCUGACAUAAGUAACGAUAAAGCGGGUGAAAAGCCCGCUCGCCGGAAGACCAAGGGUUCCUGUCCAACGUUAAUCGGGGCAGGGUGAGUCGACCCCUAAGGCGAGGCCGAAAGGCGUAGUCGAUGGGAAACGGGUUAAUAUUCCCGUACUUGGUGUUACUGCGAAGGGGGGACGGAGAAGGCUAUGUUGGCCGGGCGACGGUUGUCCCGGUUUAAGCGUGUAGGCUGGUUUUCCAGGCAAAUCCGGAAAAUCAAGGCUGAGGCGUGACGACGAGGCACUACGGUGCUGAAGCAACAAAUGCCCUGCUUCCAGGAAAAGCCUCUAAGCAUCAGGUAACACGAAAUCGUACCCCAAACCGACACAGGUGGUCAGGUAGAGAAUACCAAGGCGCUUGAGAGAACUCGGGUGAAGGAACUAGGCAAAAUGGUGCCGUAACUUCGGGAGAAGGCACGCUGACACGUAGGUGAAGUGAUUUACUCAUGGAGCUGAAGUCAGUCGAAGAUACCAGCUGGCUGCAACUGUUUAUUAAAAACACAGCACUGUGCAAACACGAAAGUGGACGUAUACGGUGUGACGCCUGCCCGGUGCCGGAAGGUUAAUUGAUGGGGUCAGCGCAAGCGAAGCUCCUGAUCGAAGCCCCGGUAAACGGCGGCCGUAACUAUAACGGUCCUAAGGUAGCGAAAUUCCUUGUCGGGUAAGUUCCGACCUGCACGAAUGGCGUAAUGAUGGCCAGGCUGUCUCCACCCGAGACUCAGUGAAAUUGAACUCGCUGUGAAGAUGCAGUGUACCCGCGGCAAGACGGAAAGACCCCGUGAACCUUUACUAUAGCUUGACACUGAACAUUGAGCCUUGAUGUGUAGGAUAGGUGGGAGGCUUUGAAGCGUGGACGCCAGUCUGCGUGGAGCCGACCUUGAAAUACCACCCUUUAAUGUUUGAUGUUCUAACGUGGACCCGUUA
rnacentral:rRNA from 1 species